AUUCCACCUUUCUUCUAAUUUCAGUGAUCAAAGAUUGAUAUUCCACCGACCCUUUUCCUCCAACUUCUUCACUCUCCUUGACUUCGCGUGAGCUUGUUUGAUUUCAACAUCUAUACGACGUCGUAGGCUUCGUCGAACAGGGCAUCUUUUGUGAGAAAGGUUGCAUUUUUUUUAAUAUUUAUAGUACUAUUAAUAUUUAUAUCUGGGAAAGAAAUGGAAAAGAAAAAGACCCAAAUCCAAUUAUAAUAUUUUUAUUAUAGUGUAAAAAGAAUUAUGUGUAUUAUGUAUUUUUGUUUAUAUGAUGGGUUUGAUUAGAUUAGCUGAAGGGAGUUAUUUAAGUUAUUCAACAUAUGAAUGAAGUGGGAUUGAUUUGCAAGGAGUUUAGAAAUUAGAGAAUGCUGUUCAGGGAAUGGGGGAGAUUAAUUCAUGUUGAAAAAUGGAGUGUUGGUGUAAUGUUCAGUGGGAUAAGAUAAUGGGCUAAAGGGAGGUGGUGCAUGUAGGAAUUUUGGGAAUUUCUGGGCUGGUUGAAAUUUGGAUCCGAGACUGAGAGGGAGUAAAUGAUUUGUAUAAUUGUAUAUGUGACAUAGGUCAAUAGUUUGGUUUGUGUUGCAGAUGAUGGGUUGGGCAUAGGGCAUUGGUUGUUGUAAUGGAGAUUGCUUUAGAUUGGAAGGAAAUGGGAUACGAUGAGAAGAUGAUUUUUGUAUUGUAGGAGAGGCUGCUUGAUGGAAUUAGAGCGGAACACUAUGUGGGGGUGGUUGUGAAUUGUGGUGAGGAGAUGCAGUAUGUGGAGAAUUCAAAUUUGUCAGCCGGAGUCCGGAGCCAUUGCAUGUAUUUUGGGAUUUCGAGGUAUUCAGAGGUUGGGAGGAGAUUGCCAGAGCUCUUAAGCUCACCACCAAGCAGGUCGAGAAGCUAAGGAAAAUGACUCCUCUUGCAGGAAGGUAUGAAGGUGCCCAGAAUAUCAAGCUCUGUGGUCCGUAUGGAGUUCGGUUUAAGGUUAGUGUUAACUAGGCUUAUUCUAACAUUAAAAAUCUAACAACAUAUGCAAAUUCCAUUGAGCUUUUGUUGAUAUGUUUAAACAACAAACAACUAGGCUUUUUAAAGAUAGAAUCUGUACUUGAUAUUUGAUGAGGUUGAUUUGUAAAGAUAUGGUAUGAGAUAGAUUCCCCAUUUCCCUUUACUUCCCUGGUCUAAUCAUGUACCAGACCUGGUGUGUUGAAGUAGUCAUGAUCCAUUGAAAUUGGAAUCAUUACCAAGCAGCAGCUGUAGUAAUCCUGGUGCAUUGACCUCAACAGUUGAGAAGUGGUGAUGAGAUGUUUCAUUGUUACUACUACUGCUUUGCAUUACUCCCUCCGUCCCAAUCAAUUCUAUACAGUUUCCUUUUUGGGACGUCCCAUCAUUUCUAUACAUUCCAAAUAUAGUAACUUUUAAUAAUAUAAAACAUUAUUACACCCACUUCUUUCUUCCCCUAUCUCCAUUCUAUAAUAAUAUAAACACUAUUACACCCACUAUUUUCCUCCACUAUCUCAAAUCUAUCAUUAAAUAUAAAUGGGUCCCACCACUUUACUCACUUUUCAUCUCUUUUUAUUCACUUUUUACACUUUUUCUUGGUCUCCGUGUCCAAAUCAAACGUAUACAAUCUACCGGGACGGAGGGAUUAUGUUAGGUUAGGCUUAUAUAUACCUCCUUCCAACUGUUUGAUGGCUAUGUAGAGAACACAUCUCUCUCCAGUCUUAUCACUUGCUUAUACAUCUCCUUUCCCAUUUCAGAAUAUGUUCUCCCCGUUGUCUUCUUCUUCUUCUUAAAAUCAUGCAAGUGUUUGAUACUCAAUUUUUUUUUUUUUAUUAAACACCCUCAUCCACUCUAUCUUGUCAAAGACAUGUUCGAAUUUCAUGCUUGAUACUCGUAUUUUCUAUUCAGCUUCCUGUAAAACUAGCUAGCUCCAAUCAUAGAUCUCAAUUUGGAUCACUAAUAAGUGAUCGACAUUCUAUUCCAAUAAGGUGAUCCAAAUUCAGUCUU